UACGGAGGGAGCUAGCGUUGUUCGGAAUUACUGGGCGUAAAGCGUACGUAGGCGGCGAUUCAAGUCAGAGGUGAAAGCCCGGGGCUCAACCCCGGAACUGCCUUUGAAACUAGAUUGCUAGAAUCUUGGAGAGGUCAGUGGAAUUCCGAGUGUAGAGGUGAAAUUCGUAGAUAUUCGGAAGAACACCAGUGGCGAAGGCGACUGACUGGACAAGUAUCGACGCUGAGGUGCGAAAGCGUGGGGAGCAAACAGG
rnacentral:rRNA from 1 species